UUGAAAUGGGAGUGGAGGGAAUAUUGAAGGAGGCGGUGGCUGAAAUGGGUUUGGUGGAAAAAUCGAUGGUGGUGGCGCAAAUGGGUUUGGUGGAAAAAACGAAGGUGGGGGUGUAAAUGGGUUUGGAGGAAGAAACCAUGGAGAUUCCGACUAGACUUCCUCCCUGGAUGCUUCUUUACAGCCACGAAUAUCUGAUUCUUCCCGUUUCUUGAACACCUUUUGAUUCCAAGACAUAAAACAUGGGAUUCUUUGCGAUAACGACCUCUUGUCUUCUGUUUGAAACUAGGUUUCACUUGUCUGAAUCUGCAUUCAAGAUCACCAUAGGAAUCUGCACACAGCCAUACAGAAGAAGACAAACUUUUCAGAACAGAGAAGAGAAGUUUCUUAAUAAUACAAUAUGUGUUUAUGAUACCUGAGACUGAGAAGAGGUUACUUUUCCUGCAAGGGACAGUGUCUCUGAAGCUUACAGCUGUAUUUGCUGCCUUUGAAGUAUGGUUAUUGAAUGUUAUGGUUAAAGCAAUGCAGAUGAGGAAGAGAAGAGAAGACAUCUUGGAGCUUUGUUUUCUAAAGUUGAAAGAGGUUUUUGUUUGUUAUUGAUAUAGGAGAGACAGAAACAUAAGGUUUUUCUGAAAACUCUUUUGUUCUUUUCUGUCUCGUGAAUCGCCUUUUUGUAUAAUUGAGUUUCUUUGAAGACAUUAAACUAGAAAACAAAAUUUUGGCUUUUA